GUUGUUAUCCGCGGGCCGUCAGUGUGUGUUCAAGUUAUUUCGUGGAAAGAUUGUUCGUUUCUCUCGCAAGAAGGUGUAUCUAUUUUUUCCAUUGAUUUUCACAUAAUAAUAUUCCUCUAUUUACACCAACAAUCCCUGGACAAUUAAUUGAAGAAAUCGCAGUUAAAGGGAGUAAUUAUAUGGCACAUUGUGAAAAUUCGCGGAGAGUUUUUGACCAGGACGUCGCGGUGCCCCACACAUACGGAUUUCCUGCAAUUUCCCGUGCAUUGUCUCCGUGAUCGAUGGAGCUGAGCAUUCUCAAUUGAUUGGGGGUCCCUGGUAGAGUUGAGACAAGUGAAAUACUACUAUUUACUUUCUUUCUUGCCAUCUUUUAUUCGUCUCCCACAUCCCCAACAAAGUGCUUCGCUUUAGAAUAAUUUAUUUUGUGUGACGAAAGGAAAACAUACAGUGUGUGUGAAAAAAGUGUUUUGGUGUUUUUCUCCGCAAUAUCACGAUUGAAUGGAUUUUAUCGUGGAAUCACCAUCUCUCUAAACUGCAUGAGAUACUCUCACCGGGAAUGGCAGAAUGGACAACGAACAGCCACACCAGGAGCUGGUGAAAUGUGUCCUCGUUGGAGACACGGCGGUCGGGAAGACGCGCCUGAUUUGUGCCAGAGCGUGCAACAAACACGUUUCACUUUCGCAAUUGCUAUCGACGCAUGUGCCAACAGUGUGGGCCAUUGACCAGUACAGAAUCUACAAGGAUGUACUGGAAAGAUCGUGGGAGGUUGUUGAUGGUGUGAAUGUCUCAUUGAGACUCUGGGAUACAUUUGGGGAUCAUGAGAAAGAUCGUCGAUUUGCAUAUGGACGAUCCGAUGUUGUUCUCCUAUGCUUCUCAAUUGCAAAUCCCGUCUCAUUGCGCAAUUGUCGCGCAAUGUGGUACCCAGAAAUCCGUAGAUUCUGCCCUCAGACACCAGUUAUCCUUGUUGGAUGCAAAAAUGAUCUACGCUACAUGUACAGAGAUGAAACGUACUUGUCGUACUUUGGAGAUCGAAGUCCUUUCGUUAGGGCGGCUAGGAAGUCCGAUCUCGUGAUGCCUGACGAGGCGAGGGCUGUUGCAAAGGAUCUGGGAGUGGCGUACUAUGAGUCGAGUGUCUUCACCUACUUCGGGGUGAAUGAGGUGUUUGAGAAUGCCAUUCGAGCGGCAUUGAUUGCACGUAGGCAGCAAAGAUUUUGGAUUACGAAUCUCAAGCGUGUGCAGCGUCCGCUCCUUCAGGCACCAUUUAGACCUCCGAAGCCACCACCUCCGGAGGUUACUGUCAUCACGGGAACACACUCAAAGGAUAUGCUAACGAUGCUCAAUGGGCAGAGAUAUACGGACUUGGUGCUUGUUGUGGGUGCUGUGAGAUUUCCAGUGCAUCGAUUCGUUCUUGCGGCUGGUUCGUGUGCUUUCAAUCGGUUGCUAACGAUGGAAUUGACAGAUCUGGGGGCAAGGAGUAGCAGUGAAUCCAGCAUGGUCAGUUCAACGUAUGGUGAUAAUUCAACUGCCGACUUCAACGAAGACACGGAGUGCCUUCUGCGAUGUGAUCCACAGUCCAGAGCUGCAGCUCAACCACUCAGAAUGUGGGAACAGUUGAAGCGCCGCUCGAGCUAUCAAGCACUUCCGACACACGAACCAAAGAAGCCACCAAGCGAUCUCUUCCGUGAGCUCCAUCAUCCCGUGUUCCAGAGCAUCCGUGUUGUUCAGAUGGCAGAAAUAUCUGCCCCUGCCAUGGCCAGUUUCACCACACUCUGCACGCGUUCUCAAACACAAACAAUUGUGACCCUGAGUAAACUCAUAACACCCCAGGCUAUGCAGCAGUGUCUUAAAUUCAUCUACUCCGGGAGCAUCGAUCGUGAAUGCCUGGAUAUUCAGGAAAUAAGACAGGCGGCAGAAUUCCUCGAACUUCCUCAAUUAUCGGUGCUUUUGUCCAACAUUCAGACGAAUCAGAAUUUCAUGAAUGACGAAACUAUUCAGCACUAUUCCAAGUGUGUCCGGAAAAAUCUGGAAAAGAUGUGUGUGAAUAGCGGUUUGUUUGGUGAUUUGACUUUUGAACUGGAUGAUGGUCACGUGAAAGCUCACCGGGCAAUUCUUGUUGCGCGCUGCGAUGUUAUGAGAGCAAUGCUCAACGGUGACUUCCGGGAGGCUCAUGCCAAUGUGAUUGUCUUUCCGGGUGUGACAGAGUACACAUUCCAUAAAUUGCUGUGUUAUCUCUAUACAGACGAAAUACCUCCAAUAUCUGCGGAUAAAUGUCUGAAUUUAUUAGAAUUAGCCAAUAGAUUAUGUUUACCUAGGCUAUUGAAUCUUGUAGAGUGUCGCGUAAUAGAGGAUCUAACGAGAAUGUCACAAAGUGAGAGCAGCGAUGCCGUAGAGCACUGUUUGAAGCUCCUAGAGCCCGUUAAGUUACACAAUGCCCAUCAAUUGGCUGAAUGGUGCAUGUCGUAUUUGUGCGUGAAUUACAACAUCAUUUGCCGUGUGUCGCCGAAGAGUCUGAAGGCACUGCAUCCCGACAAUCAGGACUACUUGAGGGAACACCGUUGGCCACCUGUGUGGUAUCUCAAAGACUACGAUUACUACCAGCGAUGUAUGAAUGAAAUUUCUCGAGAGAUGAAGGAUAACAAGAAAUCUCCAUCUGACGAUGAGGGUUGUCUCUGUUUCUCAGGAGUUCCUGGUGGCUUUUAUCGUUUGGCGAAGUUAGUGAGUUCACAAAGGGAUUAAUGUGUGGAAAAUGGGAAAAGUGUUCUCUUGGCUGACAGGAAAAUCGCGACGAACUGCGGAUUCAUCGGUGAUUGGUGGGCAGCAACAGCGAAUGCCUCUGACGUCCCAACCAGGAGCGGCGGGUGCUGAUGUGGCCGCGGGCGGCCUCUUUCCCAGCAAUCCCAAUUCCGUGCACCAGAUCGAGGGUGAUGCUGAGGUGGAUUUAAAUCUCUGACAUCCGCCAAAUUGGAGAUCACUUCGCUUUGUUGUGAUCUUUCCUGUACUCCUCUGCUUCAUUGCCACGAUCCUGAGUAUCCUCAUUGUCUUUCAGCUGUACACACAAAGUGCAGAUUAGGCAGAUACAUAUAGGUCUUUUUUCUUUUAGUUUUUUAAUGUAUUCUGUAUACGUUCACUAAGCGUUUACUUAAAACAGUCAAAAGGUUCUUUUUUUUUUAAUUAAAAUGAUGUACAUACACACACCUACAUUAAAAGUUGGGGUCCAUAUAACGAUGCGACGAAGAGAUCGACAUCAAACAUUGGGAGUAAGAAAAUUUAGCAAAUACGUUAGAUUUAUUUUUUAUACAAAAAUGAAAUAUAUUUUUUAUUUAAUAUUCAGGCCAUAGUUUAGUCGAAAAAUAAAGAAGUAUGUAUAGAAUUUACUGCAAAUUCUUUCAAAUAAGCAAAUUUUUUCUUCUUAUAAAAUCAAAUAAUUGGCGAUUUUUUAUACAUUAAAUAGAGAAUGUAAUGUAAAAUGAAUUCAUGAAGUAGUUCGUGGUGUGAGAACGGAAUCGCCUAAUUGUUGGAAAAACUAAGAAAAUGGAUUUUUCUUUCCUUUUCAAAAGCGAAUUAAAAAGAUUCGAUAACAUAUUUUGGCAUUUUAAAAAAAAAAUGAUUUUUUUUAGGCAUGCAGGGUUCUUUAAAUUAAUUUAAAAUUUAUCAAGGCUUUUAAAAAGGGCAUUGAUCUUAUUCCUUAUUUGUUGAGAUUUUAAAGACUGCGGGAAACGAUUAUUAAAAGUUAGAUUGACGUCAUUAAAUAAUAAAAUUUUCGUAAAACAAUCCUAAAAUUGUUCGUUUAAUUCAUUCUAAUGCUUCAGCAGAUUCCAGAUGUAAUAAAAAUUGAAAUUCAAUAAUAAUUUUGCAAUAUUUUCAAUUUUUUUUAUUUAUUGGUCUUUUACGAAUCCUCAAUUUCAGAAUAAUUUUUAGUAAAAAAAAAUUCUUCCUUUAAAUAAAUUCUAAAUCAACUCUGAACAGAAAUUUAUGCUAGAAGUUUUGUACUUUCUCGUUAUAUCCUGGGCAAAUUUUUUAACAAAAAAAAAUAAAUAAAUGCAAAAUAAAAAUAAAUCCGAUUCUACUUUUGCUAAUAAAAAAAUUUAAAAAGUUUUCUCAAAGUAAUGAAAACUCUAAUUAUGCAAAUUAAAACUUUUAGCACAAAAUUCUGCUAUUAUAAACCCUAUAAAAAAGUAUUUUUAUGAGUCAAUGUUUUUGAAAUUACAGCGGAAAAAAGGAGAAGGUUUUUGUAAGUCUUGCAAUGAAAGAAAAUGGUGCUUAAAAGAAAUAAUGAGAGAAAGAUUAAAAAGAAAAAAGUAAAAAUGAUGCAUUUCUUUAAAAAUUUAUGGCUAGAUAAUAAAAAAGAAAACUUAAUGAAAAGUGGAAAGUUUUCCUUUAAAUUUAGAAUGGGUAUUUUAGUGAAGGAGUUUUAAGAUAGAAAGUAAACUUGUGCAAGAUUAGGAGUUGAUAAACUUUAGUUCGAUGUAUAUUUUAAAGAAAUAAAUUUUGCUAGUAAUGAAUAUCGAUAAUUAUUAAAUUUUUGAUACAAAAAAAAGAAGUCGAAGGAACUUUUGAUGAUAGAAUUAUUGUCUUUUUAUUAAUGAUUAAAAAAAGGACAAAAAAAGAUAAAGAAAACCUUUAACAAUUUGAUUAAUAUCUCUACGUAAUAAAAUAUACUCUGUAACUGUAUGAUUAAGGAGAACUAUGUAAACACACAACACAACACAAGAAGAAACAUCCAACAAUUGCAAACUGCCUGAUGAAAUCAAUAUUACGUAGAUUAACCAUUAUAAAAAGAAAAAUUUAAAAUAAAUCAUGCUUAAAGAUGGCGAUAAAUUAUAGAAAAAAAAGUGUCUCCAAAUUUGCAUUUUUUCCAUUAACAAGUCAAUUUCCAUAAUUAUUGGAUUUCAAAAUAUAUUUCUUUUAUUAUGACAAAUAUGAUAAAAAAAUAUGCGGAAAAGUAGGAUUGAAUGUGACCUACCCAAGGCAAACUUUCACCAAAUUAAAAAUAUUAGAAAUUUCUAAUUAAAAAUCCAACAAUUUCUGUGCAAUUUAUUUAUUCCGUAAUCAAAAAUAAAAUCAUUCUACUAAAAACUUGUUAAAAUACAACAAGUUAUGCAUUUUUUAUCUUUGAAAUUUGAAUUAAAACAAAAAUUAAAAAAAAAUGAUUUGUGAUAAAAAAAAGAAAUGAGUGAAAUUCGUGUGAUUUUUUGUCAAAGGAAAAACGAAGAAAAAAUAAUCAAAAUUUCACACAAAGCAGUGAAGGAUUUUUGCAAAAAAAAUGAGGAUGAAAAGAAAUAUUAAAUAGCAUUUUUCUCAAUUUUUUCAGACACAUUAGAAAUAUCUAUAAAUAUAAUAAAGUAACAAUCCGGGAAGAAAGAAAAUUAAUCAAGAGCUAAAAAAGUGGUGAAAACAAGAAAGAUAAAUUGACUGUGCAAUAUUUUUUAGUUAAAAGAAAAUGGUAUAUAAAUGAGAAAUAGCUCAGCUUUUUAGACAUGUCAAAUUAACUAAUUAUUAUAUUAAUAUUAACUUUAGUCAUUAACACAUUUUUUCAACAUAAAAAGGAAGAAAAAUGAAAAUUUCUUAUAUACAAACUGAACAAAAA